rnacentral:rRNA from 1 species
UGGGGAAUUUUGCACAAUGGGGGAAACCCUGAUGCAGCGACGCCGCGUGAUUUAGAAGGCCUUCGGGUUGUAAAAAUCUUUUCUAUGGGAAGAAAAUGACAGUACCAUAGGAAUAAGGACCGGCUAAUUACGUGCCAGUAGCCGCGGUAAUACGUAAGGUCCGAGCGUUGUCCGGAAUCAUUGGUCGUAAAGGGUACGUAGGCGGGUAAGCAAGUUAGAAGUGAAAUCCUAUAGCUCAACUAUAGUAAGCUUUUAAAACUGCUCAUCUUGAGGUAUGGAAGGGAAAGUGGAAUUCCUAGUGUAGCGGUGAAAUGCGCAGAUAUUAGGAGGAAUACCGGUGGCGAAGGCGACUUUCUGGCCAUAACCUGACUCUGAGGUACGAAAGCGUGGGUAGCAAACAGG